ensembl:snRNA
GUGUUGCAUGAAAGGAGAGAAGGUUAGCACUCCCCUUGACAAGAAUGGAAGAGCCUGACAACGUGCAUACAGUCAAGGCACUGCCACCUACUUCGUGACAUCUAACCAUCAUUUUUA